rnacentral:rRNA from 1 species
GGACGAACGCUGGCGGCGUGCCUAACACAUGCAAGUCGAACGGAGUUCUUGGAUCAAGACUUCGGUCAAGUGAAUUGAAACUUAGUGGCGGACGGGUGAGUAACGCGUGAGGAACCUGCCUUACAGAGGGGGACAACAGUUGGAAACGACUGCUAAUACCGCAUAACGUACCGAGAGGACAUCCUUUUGGUACCAAAGGAGCAAUCCGCUGUAAGAUGGCCUCGCGGCCGAUUAGGUAGUUGGUGAGGUAACGGCUCACCAAGCCGACGAUCGGUAGCCGGACUGAGAGGUUGAACGGCCACAUUGGGACUGAGACACGGCCCAGACUCCUACGGGAGGCAGCAGUGGGGAAUAUUGCACAAUGGGGGAAACCCUGAUGCAGCGACGCCGCGUGAAGGACGAAGGUCUUCGGAUCGUAAACUUUUGUCUUCAGGGACGAUAAUGACGGUACCUGAGGAGGAAGCCACGGCUAACUACGUG